rnacentral:tmRNA from 1 species
CCUGGCGCCGCAUUGCAUCAAAAGGAUUGUCAUAAACCUCCUCUGGCUCUGCAUAGACGUGCUCAUCACUGUCAGAAUCAGGUUGGAAUCCAGGGUUGUUUUUACCUCCAGAAGCCAUGAAUGAAUUAGGAGCCAAGCAACUGCUCAACAAAUUACCAAAGAGGAGAGCUAGGGCUGGAAAGCUGGCACACGUCAGGUGUUACAGAGCAAUGCAAGGAGCUUCAAAUAUUCUCCAACUGCUAGAAUCUUUAAAAAUCGCACAUCAGAUAACACACCCAGUAGGUUCCAGGCUCUUUUUUGAGGUCACACUAGGGCGCAGGGUGGUUGAUGCAAUUAUAGUGGUUUUCUCAGAAAGUAGUCCUCACAUCCACUGUUUUUUGAUAGAGCUAAAGACAUGUAAAAUCAAUUUCUUCAACCAGCACAGUACCACCAGAGAAGCACAAAAGGUAGAGGGUAGCAACCAGCUGAGGGACUCUGCCAAGGCGCUAGCAGUUCUAGCUCCAGUUGGAACUGACCCCUGCAGAGUCACCGCACACCUGAUAUUUAAGAGCCAGCGGGGUCUGAACACUUUAAAAAGUUAUACACUGAACUGGAUGACUCACACUGUAAACACUCAAAAAGUUGCACUUUUGAACUUUCUGGGGUUGCGUGCGGACAAUGAAUUAAGAGCUUGUUUAACUAGGGGACUCCCCCCUGCCAAUUCCCCUGGAAGCAGGAGGCACCAUGUUUGUUUACCUGAACCCAAACCCCAAAAACACCUUAAGAAUAGACGCGGAGGCGCUCACAGAAACCAGAAGGCUCGCCGCCAGGGCGUGGGACCUAAAGUAUCAAAUGACAAAACAAGGAAUGCACCAACGCAUGCUGAGGGCCGAGCUGGAUAACCUGGAAAUCCUAGAAAGGGGGCAUUCUGCGGCUUUGACCACAAAUCUGAGCUUACUGGCAAAUGUCCUGCUCGACCAACCGGCCCCGCCCGAUCCAACACAGGGUGAAGAAAAGGGCCUUCCCCCUUCCAGUCGGGUGGAGUCCAGAACAGAGGGUGUCUACACUGUAACUGUAUACCCGGGAGAUCCCGCCUUUGAAAUACAGGAUAGUCUACCCCAGAAAAUAUGGCCAAUGCUCUACCUCCAUCAGCAGAGGUGGCUGCCCUCUUACGGCCCGUGGCACAUCAGGUUUACCUCUUCCGCCAUGCAGCUCAGAAAUUUUCCACGUUCCCUCCGUGGCCAGGCAAAUUUUCAAAACUCCAUGUCCCUCAAACUCAUCACUGCACUUACUGACGUCAUCUCCAGGAUCUCCCUAGACUUUUACUCAGACCUGAGACAUUUGAGUGAUACCAUGUCCGCCCUGUGUCUCAUAGCAGCUUACUACAGUGAAAAAAAUCAAACACCUCUACCCACUAACCUCCCAGAACUGCUAGGGAAUAUCACAGCAAAGGUGACCCUCCUGGUUAGGGACCUGAAGAGGGCAGCGGCAAAUAAAGGGUUUAAUUUCAAUAGAAACUCUUCUUCUCUGUUACCUGCCCAGGGCGGCCUUUACAGUAAUGAUUUUUUUCAGGAGCACGCGCUGUAUUCUCUGUUUAGAACAGCGGGGAUGUUGGCAAGUUCAAGCUCGCCCGAGUAUCCCAGGGCAGAUUCUGUGCUCGCCAUCACGGCGGCCGUGUUUGGUGACAACAUCCCUCCCUUUGCUGCCUAUCAGUGGAACCUUCGCAGUGGUCUCAAGGCGCUCGAGUCACUCAUCCUACUGUUUCUACUCUUGGACGUGAACGUCCCAGCCACCUCCAACAAGAGGCUACACCUGGAGGCUUUGUUGGGGGAGUCUUACAGUAAGGGGUCCCGUCCCCCAGCCCGCCGCACCGGUCCACUAGACGCUGGAGGCUCAGUCUUCAGCUUUCUCAUGGAAAACUAUCUAGUGCCCACUCUACUACACCGCCCCACCACCAACAUGUCCGCCCUCUUUCCAGGCCUCUACCUCCUCCAGCUGGAGUUUAGCUCAGGAGCCUCCACCCCCCACGCCAUUCACUUAACAGACGUGAAGUUUAGGGACAUUUUCAAUAUCCUGGUGCAAUCUAAUGUUUUUCAAGAUUCCCAGGAACUGAUCAGGGCCAAACAGUCCCUGAGAGUCAGCUGUGAAACAGGCAGUGGGAAUCUCCUGGAAAGCCUCUCCCCGGGGACCACCAUGCGAGACAUCAUCAGAAAAGAAUUCAUGGCACAAGAUGUUUAUGAUUAUGUUUAUUUUUGUGUGUUGGGGGCACUUCCUGUUACAGUGGCCGUGGUGUAAGAAAUAAAGCUGUUGUUAAAAGUAAACAACUGAUCAAGUUCCUGCAGAUAAUUAUCUGGUGGGAGGGAAAGGGCCUGGGACCCCUGGAAAGUCAAGAUGUCAGCACAGAUGGUUUCCAUUAGCCCAGCGUAUGACUGGGUGGCGGCAAAUUCCACACACUCUUUCCUGGGGAGAAGAUAACCAGCCAGAAUCAAGUACAAGAGGAAGAACUUUCCCACGUAGUGCCUGACCCAAGGCUCCAGGCCUUGCGCUCCCCAAUUUUUCAGACAAAAGAGCAGGCACAUCAGGAGCCUGCAAGGGAUGGUGCUUCCCAGGUUGAACAGCAGGUUACCAUCUCUCAGAUUCACUAGGUCGAGCGCCACAUGAUGGGUCAGACCCAGCUUUUUAAAAAUCUUUUCACAGAACCCACACAGCGUUCCAUCAUCGGCCGUGUUCAGGCGAUACCAGAGGCUGGCCGCCACGGUCUCGUCAGUGAGGUCCUUCGUUGUCAGGCCACUCUCUAGGCACACCUCAUAGAGCAGAGUCCAAAACUGUAUGGGCACUUUUCUGCCCAGGACACCAUUGUCAUAUGUACCAGUGUUAUAGAGAGCAUACUUGAACAGGUAACAAUUGGUGGUAAAAUUAUACAGGUGACAGAGGAUAGCAUGUAACAACCUCAAUUCUGUCGAGGAUAGCGUAUUUAAUUUAUCCUUAAAUAAAAUUUUAGACAGUAGCGCCUGCAGGCCAGGAGACAUUGGCUUUCCAACUAUCACAUAUCGCCCCAACAUGGCUGAUGCACCUAUAUACGUGGGAGGAUAUGUGGACAUAAAGAAAUAUCCAACCCUUGAAAAGGAACUGGUGCUAGAUCAUGACAGGCUCCUGCAGGCCGUGCCCUCCUUCAAACCUGUACCCAUCAACGUGGAGCACCUGGCAGAUGCUGAGGUGGGCUGGGUUCAGACUAUUUAUCCCGCCAGCCACGGCCUCUUUUGUAUGGGGGAGGUAACAAACAAACAGUUUCUGCACCUCGUGACUCAGAUGGCGGAAGAGUCUGCUGCCUCUCACAUCACACUUACCAAGCAGCUCCCUCGCGAGCCAACGCUGCAGAUGUUGCACACAUGGCUUCCAGAGCUCUCACUGUCCUCCAUCUCACCACACUUGAUGAACUCUACCCCAGACACUGAAAUAUUUCACCACGUGGCCUUGUGCGCCCUCGGCAAACGCCGGGGGGUGGUGGCAGUCUAUGGUCACUCUUUAGAUUGGGUAAUCUCCAAGUUUGAAUCCCUCAAACCAGGGGAAAUUUCUGCAAUCAAAGAAUGUGUUGAAAGUGUGUCCAAAAGGCAUGGUCCCAAUGGUCAGAGACCCCUGAAUUUCUCAAUCAGCAUGGACAGUCUUUUGGCCAAGGCCAUAGACGCCAGCUUCAUCAAAAACAGACUUGAUCUGCUCAAAUCAGACAGGCAAGUUGCUGCAGUGAAACAAUCAGCAUAUUUAAAGGCUAGUCACGUACCACAGGCAGACCCCGACCCCAUUUCCCAACCUACUCAGUCCGCCAUCAUGACAACUGUGACAGCUGGAAUGGAGGAAAAUAACUUGAUCAGUGUGCCCAAGGCUACUUUGAUCUCUCUCCUAACCAAGGCAGAGUCCUCCCAACGGCCCCAGGGCGGCCAGGCGUCAGUCCCUCAGAUCCUGCAGCCUUUCCAGACUCCCAGCUCCGCUAUCACCAAUCACGCAGCAUUCUCGACCCCAGGGGCUGGCCUGAGCUACCCACACGCGGGUCAGUGGCCUAUCAUGCCCCCUUGGAGCCCCUAUUGUCCACCAGCUUACCCUCUUCAGGCUUCAGAGGGUGCUCCUCAAAGUGGGCCAUAUUGGCCACCAAUGUACUCCUACGGCCAUCGAGAUGAAGCGAGGGCAGGAAAAAGGAAAAGGGAAUGUGAGGAGGAGGACCAAGUCUCAUUUCCAGGGGAAACCAGCAAGAGAGGCCUCUACAGUGAGCUCUUGUCCAUGGCUGGCAGCAUUGCCUCUCUGAAGAGCGAACUACAGAGUUUGAAACAGUCUCUGCCAGCUUGCGCCCCGCCAUCCACUCCAGCCUCAGCAUAUUAUCCCGAAGCCGGAAGCCUGCUACAAUAUCCGGGUCGUCAUAUCAACCCUCAACAGUGCUACAUGUCGCACCCUUCCCCUGCACCCCUUCCAGCUGCGAGUCCCGCCGGGGCGGCCGCCGCGCCUCCACCCACGGUGGUAGAAAGUGUCCCUCGACCACCAGAAACAGUUCCAACGGUCCCUGUAGCCCAAAGUGUGGAGCGGGAACCAGAUGCUCUGGUGACUACCAAAAAGACAGUUCCUGCCAAAAGAGUAGAUGCCAGCAAACUGGCCAACCACGAGAAGAGCAAAGUACAGCAGCUCUUUUGCGAAGAGCUCUCCAAAUAACACGAGGGGUAUUAUUGUAAAAGGGUUGCGUGUGUCAAUAAAAUGUUUGUGCUUGGUGCAAC